rnacentral:rRNA from 1 species
AGCGAACGCUGGCGGCAGGCCUAACACAUGCAAGUCGAACGAACCCUUCGGGGUUAGUGGCGGACGGGUGAGUAACACGUGGGAACGUGCCUUUAGGUUCGGAAUAACUCAGGGAAACUUGUGCUAAUACCGAAUGUGCCCUUCGGGGGAAAGAUUUAUCGCCUUUAGAGCGGCCCGCGUCUGAUUAGCUAGUUGGUGAGGUAAUGGCUCACCAAGGCUACGAUCAGUAGCUGGUCUGAGAGGAUGACCAGCCACAUUGGGACUGAGACACGGCCCAAACUCCUACGGGAGGCAGCAGUGGGGAAUCUUGCGCAAUGGGCGAAAGCCUGACGCAGCCAUGCCGCGUGGAUGAUGAAGGUCUUAGGAUUGUAAAAUCCUUUCACCGGUGAAGAUAAUGACGGUACCCGGAGAAGGAGCCCCGGCUAACUUCGUGCCAGCAGCCGCCGUAACAC